CGGACGGGUGAGUAACGCGUGGGCAACCUGCCCCAUGCCGGGGGAUACCGCCUGGAAACAGGCGCUAAUACCGCAUAAGCGCAUACAGCCGCAUGGCAGUAUGCGGAAAGCUCCGGCGGCAUGGGAUGGGCCCGCGCCCGAUUAGCCAGUUGGCGGGGUAACGGCCCACCAAAGCGACGAUCGGUAGCCGGCCUGAGAGGGCGGACGGCCACAUUGGGACUGAGACACGGCCCAAACUCCUACGGGAGGCAGCAG
rnacentral:rRNA from 1 species